rnacentral:rRNA from 1 species
CCUACGGGUGGCAGCAGUCGAGAAUCAUUCACAAUGGGGGAAACCCUGAUGGUGCGACGCCGCGUGGGGGAAUGAAGGUCUUCGGAUUGUAAACCCCUGUCAUGUGGGAGCAAAUUAAAAAGAUAGUACCACAAGAGGAAGAGACGGCUAACUCUGUGCCAGCAGCCGCGGUAAUACAGAGGUCUCAAGCGUUGUUCGGAAUCACUGGGCGUAAAGCGUGCGUAGGAUGUUUCGUAAGUCGUGUGUGAAAGGUGGGGGCUCAACCCUCGGACGGCACAUGAUACUGCGAGACUAGAGUAUGGGAGAGGGAACCGGAAUGCUCGGUGUAGCAGUGAAAUGCGUAGAUAUCGAGAAGAACACUCGUGGCGAAGGCGGGUUCCUAGACCUUAACUGACGCUGAGGCACGAAGGCCAGGGGAGCGAAAGGGAUUAGAUACCCCGGUAGUC